ACCACCGGGAUCCCCAAAAACACCGGGAACCCCAAAAUGGGAAACCCCCAAAAAUGGGGACCCCAAAAACACCGGGAACCCCCAAAAACACCGGGAACCCCAAAAAUGGGAAAAUCCCAAAAACACCGGGAACCCCAAAAAUGGGAAACACAAAAAUGGGAACCCCAAAUACACCGGGAACCCCAAAAUGGGAAACUCACUAAAUGGGAACCCCAAAAAUGGGAACACCAAAAACACCGGGAACCCCAAAAACACUGGGAAUCCAAAAAAAUGGGAACCCCAAAAUCACAGGGAACCCCAAAAAUGGGAACCCCAAAAUGGGAACCACAAAAACACCGGGAACCCCAAAAACGGGAAUCCCCCAAAAAUGGGGACCCCAAAAACACCGGGGACCUCAAAAAUGGAAACACCAAAAACCACAGGGAACCCCAAAAACACCGGAAACCCCAAAAAUGUGAAACACAAAAACACCGAGAACCCCAAAAAUGGGAAACCCCCAAAAAUGGGAACCCCAAAAUGGGGACCCCAAAUACACCGGGAACCCCAAAAAUGGGAAAACCCCAAAAAUGGGAAAACCCCAAAAAUGGGAACCCCAAAAUGGGAACCACGAAAACACCGGGAGCCCCAAAAAUGGGACACUCAUAAAAUGGGAACCCCAAAAAUGGGAACCCCAAAAUGGGAAACUCACUAAAUGGGAACCCCAAAAACACCGGGAACCCCAAAAACUCCGGGAACCCCAAAAACACCGGGAACCCCAAAAUGGGAACCCCAAAAACACCGGGGAGCCCAAAAAUGGGAAAACCCCAAAAAUGGGAACCCCAAAAUGGGGACCCCAAAAUGGGAACCCCAAAAAUGGGAAAACCCCAAAAACACUGGGAACCCCAAAAAUGGGAAAACCCCAAAAAUGGGAACCCCAAAAUGGGAACCACAAAAACACCGGGAGCCCCAAAAAUGGGAAACUCAUAAAAUGGGAACCCCAAAAAUGGGAACCCCAAAUACACCGGGAACCCCAAAAAUGGGAAAACCCCAAAACCACCGGGAACCCCAAAAUGGAAAACCCAACCCCAAAUUGUGGGAACCCGAAAAGCACAGGGAACCCCAAAAAACGGCAAAACCCCAAAAACCGGCAAAACCCCAAAAAUGGAAACAAAAAAAAUCCCAGGAACCCCAAAAACUGGAAACCCAAAUUGUGGGAACCCCAAAAAUCUGGAACCCCAAAAAUGAGAACUCCAAAUUGUUGGGGUCAGGAUUUGGGGUCUGGGGGCUUUGGGAUACCCAGGGUCGGAUUUGGGGUGUUGGAGUUUUGGGUCUG
rnacentral:lncRNA from 1 species